rnacentral:rRNA from 1 species
GAUGAACGCUGGCGGCGUGCCUAAUACAUGCAAGUCGAGCGAACAGACGAGGAGCUUGCUCCUUCGACGUUAGCGGCGGACGGGUGAGUAACACGUAGGUAACCUACCUAUAAGACUGGGAUAACUUCGGGAAACCGGAGCUAAUACCGGAUAAUAUUUCGAACCGCAUGGUUCGAUAGUGAAAGAUGGCUUUGCUAUCACUUAUAGAUGGACCUGCGCCGUAUUAGCUAGUUGGUAAGGUAACGGCUUACCAAGGCAACGAUACGUAGCCGACCUGAGAGAGGGAUCGGCCACACUGGAGCUGAGCCACGGACCAGACGCCUGCGGGAGGCAGCAGUAGGGAAUGUUACGCAAUGGGCGAGAGCCUGACGGAGCAACGCGGCGUGAGUGAUGAAGGUGUUCGGAGCGGAAAACUCUGUUAUUAGGGAAGAACAAACGUGUAAGUAACUGUGCACGUCUUGACGGUACCGAGUCAGAAAGCCCCGGCUAACUACGUG